AUUGCUCUCUAUGUUGCCCACAGCAUGUUUCUGUGAAAACAGGACUGUUGUUGGUUAAACCUGUUGUUGUGUGAAUCACUCCCAGCAGGUCAAUCAAAUGGCUCAAAUGUAAUAGUCACUUUUGUUACUGCUGUCUCCCCUGUCAGAAUGCCACCUGGCACCAUAUCCACAGAGGACCCAACGCUGCUGCCUGGCGAAGACACUAUGCUGCCCAUGGAGAUGCCUGCAGCGUUGACCGAGGAGAGGAGCCCUGAGCCUGUUCCUCUACCCAGCGAACCAGAGAGACAGAAAAAGACACGCCCCCUACAGGCCAUUUCUCCCCCAGGCAAAGCACCUCGCAGGAGGCAACUGCUCUUCUUUGACAAGGAAACCCAGAUUACCCAGGAAGCACUGCAGCAGCAGCUGGACAACACACUCACACAGACCAGGCCCCUGGUUGUAGUAAGUAGUCCAUCUGAAAGAAAAGUCUCUGCUACUGAGCUCCUUGACAACCCCUGCUUCAAUCUCCCUCCAGAGCUGCUGUCUCUAUGGAAACAGGCGGCGGUUGUUACAUCUCGGGCUGGCUCUGACCUUGAGGUGGGGAGGAGAGGGACAGACUCUGAGUCGGCAGGGGGAGAGGGGGAGCAGGAAGGGGAGCUAAGCUCAAAGGAGGUGAGAGGGAAAAACUAUUCACCACACACACAUAACACAUGGACAAUGACAACAAAAGUGAUCCGUGUGUGUGUGUGUGUGUGUGUGUGA
rnacentral:lncRNA from 1 species